AAAAGCUAAAUAUACUUCGGACUAUGUACGGGCGGAUAUAGGCACUGUUAUAGGUAGGUAUUCAAGAAUUUAUUUUUUACACAAGAAGCUUUGCAAUCAUAAAACGAUUCUGAAAAAAAUUUAGUAACUCGAUAAGGUUACAGGGUACAUCGUAUUUUUUACGCGGGUUCUAAAUUAAUCUAAAACACUGACAUAUCCUCAUGUUUCGUUGUCAGUUUUUACAAUUUUUUUAGUCAAAAUGUUAGUAAUCUAGUAAAUGUGUUUAAUUAUAAAAUACCACCAGUCGAAAAAUCCGCAUCUAUUAACAGUGCGAAUAAUUUUGAAUCAUUGUGAAAAUGAAUGUUCUUCCUGAAAAUUAAAUUAUUAUUUUUCCUAAAACAAUAUGAUUCCGAUACGUUUUUCCGGAGCCAUUCGCAUUUUAUCUUAAUUUGGUGAUCUAAACCAAGCGUAUCAUUUAGAGAUUCGAGCGUGAUAUGGCAUUGUUAUUCUUACUCUUUUUCCUAAUAAUAUCCUAGGAUGUCGGUCCGUUCAAUAUGGCGGCGUGAGUAUAGUUUCUCUGCGG